rnacentral:rRNA from 1 species
AACAAGGUUUCCGUAGGUGAACCUGCGGAAGGAUCAUUACCGAGUUGAUUCGAGCUCCGGCUCGACUCUCCCACCCAAUGUGUACCUACCUCUGUUGCUUUGGCGGGCCGCGGUCCUCCGCACCGGCGCCCUUCGGGGGGCUGGCCAGCGCCCGCCAGAGGACCAUAAAACUCCAGUCAGUGAACUUCGCAGUCUGAAAAACAAGUUAAUAAACUAAAACUUUCAACAACGGAUCUCUUGGUUCUGGCAUCGAUGAAGAACGCAGCGAAAUGCGAUAAGUAAUGUGAAUUGCAGAAUUCAGUGAAUCAUCGAAUCUUUGAACGCACAUUGCGCCCCUUGGUAUUCCGAGGGGCAUGCCUGUUCGAGCGUCAUUUCAACCCUCAAGCUCUGCUUGGUAUUGGGCCCCGUCCUCCACGGACGCGCCUUAAAGACCUCGGCGGUGGCGUCUUGCCUCAAGCGUAGUAGAAAACACCUCGCUUUGGAGCGCACGGCGUCGCCCGCCGGACGAACCUUUGAAUUAUUUCUCAAGGUUGACCUCGGAUCAGGUAGGGAUACCCGCUGAACUUAAGCAUAUCAAUAAGCGGAGGA